GCCGGAGUUUGCUCGGGGGCGGAGGCCGCGGGCCGCCCUCGUCUGCCCCUGGGCCGUUUUUAUGCCCCGGUAUGCCCCUUCACGCCGCUCCCUGCCGAGGCUGGAAGCGGCAGCGGUUUACCAACCAGACGCAGCUGUAAAGUUCUGCACGUGUUAUGUGUUGGUUUGCUUAAGGCAACGCACGGCUUGCUGUACACAGAUGCAUGUUCUGCCCCUAAGAGAUGAUGAAGAUGGAAGUUCGUGGCUUGCUCCUUGCUUCUCAGAUAUGGACAGGUGACAACCUACAAGCCACGUGAGCGAUCCUGGUGUCCUGCAGCCACCUCGCCACUCUCUACCAAUAGUCCAAGUGUGGGGGACACAGGAGUGUCUUGGUGAUGGGAUGACAGCCUUGCUGCAUGUCAGGCUCCUGAAGCCGGUGAAGGAGAAACAGCAGUCUGAGGUGAAACAACAUUCAACAAAACCUCAUCAAAUGCUUUCAGAGAAUGAAAAUGACACGUUACAUUAAAGGCUUAAGUAGCAGUCGCAGGAGAUUAAAUGCAGUUAAGCAUAACGAAGCGUGAGGAUGACAAGAAAAAUGAAGCAGAGGUGCCUUAUCUCCCAAUUCAUCGCAGUACAAAUUUUAUAUUCCAGACACAAAUGCCACUUUGGGAUUGAAAUCGUACUACGUGAAUCCGUGUGAUUUGCAGUGGCAACAUGCUAAUGGUGUGAAUUAGUCGUUAGUUCAUGACUCUGAGGAAAAGGACCACAUGAAAAUUGUAAGUUAGAAUUCUAUUAGCAGGACUGAGUCUCUUCAUUCUCAGUGCAGAAGUGCAGUACAACAGAAGAACAAAUACAUUCUGCAGGUGGAGAGAAGAGCCGUGGGUUCAUGGUAAGGACAGCAUCCAUCUGCCCCAGGUAAAUCUAAGCCCAUCUUCCCAGCUUGUAGGUGCCUUUGUUUACCUUUUGCUCCAUAACAAACCCAGAAACUCCCUGAUAAAAUUCCCUUCGGAUCAUGACCGUAG
rnacentral:lncRNA from 1 species